CCUACGGGUGGCAGCAGUGGGGAAUAUUGGACAAUGGGCGAAAGCCUGAUCCAGCCAUGCCGCGUGUGUGAAGAAGGCCUUCGGGUUGUAAAGCACUUUCAGUGGGGAAGAAAGCCUUUGGGCUAAUACCCUCGAGGAAGGACAUCACCCACAGAAGAAGCACCGGCUAACUCCGUGCCAGCAGCCGCGGUAAUACGGAGGGUGCGAGCGUUAAUCGGAAUUACUGGGCGUAAAGCGCGCGUAGGCGGUCUGAUAAGCCGGUUGUGAAAGCCCCGGGCUCAACCUGGGAACGGCAUCCGGAACUGUCAGGCUAGAGUGCAGGAGAGGAAGGUAGAAUUCCCGGUGUAGCGGUGAAAGGCGUAGAGAUCGGGAGGAAUACCAGUGGCGAAGGCGGCCUUCUGGACUGACACUGACGCUGAGGUGCGAAAGCGUGGGUAGCAAACAGGAUUAGAUACCCUAGUAGUC
rnacentral:rRNA from 1 species